GUGGAAGGUGCAGCUGAGGCAUUGGAAAGUAGAAGAAGCGAAAGGGUGAGAGCGAAAUGGAGGUUUGGCAUUGUAGUGAAAUGCGAGUCCUGGGAGAGGAGGAGAAUCCUAAAUCAUGGAGAAGGUAAAAGAGUGUAGAGUGUGGUGUGAACAGAGAGUGAAUGGGAAAAGCAAAAGAGACAAGAAAAGGAAGAGGGAGAAGUGGACCAUA